rnacentral:lncRNA from 1 species
CAAUCGACUCAGAAUCAACCACAAGUAUCAAACCACGCAAUUUCACACAACACUGCCUACUUAGACAAUGCAUCCUCGGCUAUUCAACUUAACAGUUCGACAGCUAAUUUUAUUCCAUCGUCACAACAAAUUCCUUCUAAUACCGUGCUGAGCACGCACGCAAACAGCAAAGAAGUCUUGGCCUAUGUCAAACUAGUUUCAGUCAAACAGGAAAUCGUGUAUGCCAGAGCACUGCUCAAUUCCUGCAGCACCACAUCACUUAUUACUAGUCAGUUGGUAGAAAAACUGUUAGACAGUCCCAUAACUCUCACAGGAAUUUAUGGAAUUGCAACUCACACCAACAAAAUGGUAGAUAUUUCGGUGUUCUCCACAGUUAAGGAAAAUACCAAAUUUGAUAUUUCAUGCUAUGUCCUAGAUCGAAUCACAAAGAACAUGCCCCAUUACACGCUCAUUAGAGAAAAUAUUUCUAUACCUCCCUGUUGCAUGCUUGCUGAUCCCGAUUUCAACGUUCCUGGGCAAAUAGACAUACUUUUAGGCGCAGAUGUCUAUUAUUCAAUUGUUCAUGGAAUCCCCGCUCAAAUACCCAGAAAUUCUUUGUAUAUGGUAGAAACUCAUCUUGGCUACAUCAUAUGUGGACCGAUCUCAGUUAUUGCACCACUCUAUCCAGUUCAGCUAAAUCCCCCUUUAGAGCAGAAAACGCGUGCCAUUUAAUUCACGGUACCAAUUUACAGAAACUUUUUGAAUGAUUCUGGUCUGUCGAACACGUUUCUGACCUUAAUAAAACGAUUUUGUCACCAGAUGAAUCGCUUGCUGAAGAAAUUUUCUCCACUUCAAUCACCCACUUGGAAAAUGGCCACUUGCAAGUCGCGUUGCCCCUCAAAAUCCCAAACGCGCACUUGCAGUUAGGAAUCUCGUACAAUCAAACAUUGAAACGGUUUGAAAACCUGGAAAAAAGAUUAGCGAAAAAUCCCAAUUUGUUCUCUAGAUACAAACAGUUUAUUGACGAAUAUAUUUCACUAGGCCACGGAAAAUAUGUGGAAUUAUCUUAAAAAAAUGAAUUGAAUGAAAAUAAAUAUAUAAUUUUUUUAAUACUUUAUACCCCACCACUGUGUCAUUCGAGAAGAUCGUCUUACGACAAAAUUACGCGUAGUGUUUGAUGCGAGCAUGAAAUCUUCUAACGGCGUGUCUCUUAACAAUAUUAUGCUUAAAGGAUUUCCCGUGCAACCCGAUUUGUAUGACAUUCUUUGCCGAUUUCGGAGCUUUCCAUAUGUUUUUGAGGGAGAUAUUGAAAAGAUGUAUAGGCAAAUCAAAGUGAACCCUACUCAAACAUUUUUGCUAAAUAUUUUGUGGCGAGAUCACCCAGCCGCCCCACUCAGGUGCAUAGAAUUGCAGACAGUCUCAUACGGCACGAAAAGUGCUCCCUAUCUUGCCACUAGAUCACUAAAUUAUCUCGCUGACACUCAUAAAGAACGCUAUCCACUUGCCGCCCAGUUUAUCCACCAUCAAUGUUAUGUUGAUGACAUUAUCUAUGGUUGUGACACGCUUACUGCACUCACAAAUACUUAUAGAGAAUUAACAAAGCUAAUUGGCACUGCUGAAUUCAAGUUACAUAAAUGCUCGUCAAACUCUAAUCCAUUUAUUAAAGUUCUUCAGAACGCUUCCCCUCAAGACGUUUUCGAACUCAAAGAACACGGCUCUCCAAAUAGGGUCCUAGGAAUAUGUUGGAAUUCCAAGAGUGACUUAUUUUCAAUAUCGUUACUCAAACCAGGCCCCAAACUCCCCCCACAAAGCGCAGAGUCUUAUCCACAAUGGCUCAAUUGUUCGACCCUCUUGGGUUAGUAGGUCCUAUCGUUGUCAGCGCAAAAAUUAUUAUGCAGCAAAUCUGGGUAUCAAAGAUUGAUUGGGAUCAAGAAUUGCCCAACGAUAUUUUGGUCAUGUGUCAACUUGUCAAAAUUGACCUUACCCCGGUAUUUGUUUUGCGAUCAGCAUUUUGUUCGAUUGGUGCUGCACGGAUUUGCCGAUGCAAGUCUUAAGGCAUAUGGUGCAUGUGUCUAUUUCUGUGCAGCAUAUACGGACAAUGUUGUCUCAUGCAAAUUUAUUUCGUCAAAGAGCAGAGUGGCUCCACAAAAAACACUCAGUUUGCCAAAAUUGGAGCUAUGUGCUGCCCAUUUGCUGUCACUCCUAGUAGAAAGAAUUGUCUCAAUAUAUAAAAAUAGGUGCCAGCUCUCCUCAAUUAAUUUAUGGACCGAUUCACAAAUUACCCUGGCUUGGAUUAAAUCAGGACCUUUCCGUUGGACCAUAUUUGUUUCAAAUCGAAUGUCAGAAAUUCAGCAAUUAACAAGCAAUUGCAUUUGGCGUCACAUACGUUCGCUUAAUAAUCCCACGGAUCUCAUCUCGCGCGGAUGCACUUCUGUGGACUUAAUUGAUUCGUCAUUAUGAUGGCACGGCCCUGCAUUUCUCUCAUCCCCAGAUUUAAUCUGAGUUGUAGUCGACCAUGAGGUCACACUAAAAGAAAUCCCUGAAGAAAGAAAAGGGAGGGUAAAUUUGCAUAAUUGGGCAAAAACAGAAUUUUGGGAACUAAUGUUUGCAAAUUUCUCUUCAUUCCUCAAACUCAAAAGGGUUUUAGCAUUUUGUGCGCGAUUUGUUAAUAACCUGAAACAUGGACAUGAUAAAACAAGUGGCCCACUCAGCAUCACAGAGUUGAAAUCAAUAGAUGGUAAUUGUGCGUAAACUGCAGGAAAUGCAUUUUUAAAAGGAAAUUCUUGAACUCAAAACGAACAAGGAAUUAUUAAAUCGAUGUCUUUUUCAACUAUCACCCUUUCUUGAUGAUUUUGGAAUACUUCGCGUAGGCGGACGGCUCUCUAAGUCGGGAUUACCCGUUGACGCAAAAUUCCCCAUCUUGUUACCAUCGCGGUGUUAUAUUGUUUCUCUCAUGCUCAAACUCGAACACACGCUCCUGGUCAUGCAGGCGCACAAAGUGUAUUAUACAAUUUUCGAUUACGAUACUGGCCUCUAGGUGGUCUGAGAGACAUUAGAUUGUGCCUGUUGGUGUCGAGGGUAUCGCUUCCGUGCAGGAUUGCGUUCCACCCGCUUGGUCGAAUUCGACAGAUAAAUGGUAUCAGCAGAUGAUCCACAGACUGGAGGAACAUUCUGAAAAAUAUUCUUGUUGGCGAGUUGAGGAUAGUCUUUUGUACAAGCUGAUUGGCUCUCGGCACCCUGAGUUCCCCAAUUCUACAAAUCGCUGGAAACUGGUAGUCCCCAAAGAUCACCGGAAAGAUAUUCUGCAUCGAUGUCACGGCCUCCCAACUUCUGGUCACCUGGAAAUAUAUAAGACGUUCUGGAGGAUCGCUGAACGCUACUAUUGGCCGCGAAUGAGAUCCGAUGUUAUCACAUACGUUCGCCGUUGCAUAGUUUGUGCGCAGUCUAAAGUUGACCAAAAGUCUCCCGCUGGGUUAAUGGGAAAUCGACCACAAAUUACCCAACCCUGGCAGUCCAUCAGCCUCGAUUUUGUUGGCCCCUUCCCUCGCUCGAAACAAGGCAAUACCUACAUCCUUGUCGUGACGGAUUACUUCAGCAAAUACGUAGUCCUGUUUGCAUGACGUUCGGCUAAUUCUAAAGCCUUGGUGAAAUUCGUAGAGCAGGGAAUCUUUUUGGUGUAUGGAGCUCCGCAAGACUUAACCUGCGACAAUGGCACCCCCAUGAAAUCCAAAGCAUUUCAGUCUCUCUGUGCUAGAUACAAAGUUAACUUAUUUUACACCGCAUCUUACUAUCCUCGAGCGGAUCACACAGAGCGGACUAAUUGCGUGAUCAAAACCAUGCUUAAGUCGUAUGUACAGUACAACAGGACAAUCACCGACCGUGGGAAGAUAACUUGCCGGCCAUUGGCUGUGCGAUACGGACCGCACGUCAUGAGGUAACAAGGUACCGCCCUGAUUUCGUAAAUUUUGGAAGAGAACAUGUUUUGUUUGGAAACGAUUUUGCUCCAGGAGUUCCGUCGGCCAAUACUGAACCGCAACAUCAUGUUCAGAGUCGGGUUCAGGGUUAUCGGGAGACGUAUGAGCGAGUUAGUCAGAGGACUGCAACAGCCCGUUCGGAAUAUCGGAAUAGAUACAAUCUGCGGAGGCGUCCUGUUACGUAUGUUGUUGGCGAAAAGGUUUGGCGGAAAAACAAGGUACUGUCCAAUGCCUUAAAUUAUUUUAGUGCCAAGUUAGCUCCAGAAUUUGUGGGCCCGUUUAUAAUAGGCAAACUGACAGGCACUUGUACCUACGAGCUGCAGGACGAGUCCGGUGUCAGUAAAGGCGUAUAACAUGUCCAAGAUCUAAAACCUAUGCAUUGCGGCCGGUUUAGCUCCGAUGCUGAUGUUGUCGUUAGUUAGCUUAAUUGGAUUUUCCUGCUAACAGGUUCUCUCUCUAUUUGACAGUUGCGAGUGUUGUCUCGAUUCAGUUGUUUCACCCCUUUUAUUUUCCUUCUGAAUCGUUUGGUUGUUUAAUGUUCAUUGCGCUCUACAGAUAGGGGCGUACCCUGGUGUGUGCGAUCAGCUUGGCGCAAAACUUGAUGAUCGGUUACAUCGGGGUUGGAAAGAAUACUUCUGUUCAGUAUUCUGGAGGUAGUAAAAGUCCACCAAGUGUUAGUGCAAAGUAAUCUUCAAUUGCUUUGUACUCACCGUGUCAGCUAGAUAAAUUACUGACCGUCUCUCAUUGUUGUAUGUUGUUGCCUCGUGGUGUUUAUUUUGGGGGCAUACUUCCAUGUGAGUGAUCAGCUUGGCGCAAAACUUGAUGAUCGCUCACAUUGAGGUUGGUUUUAUUUUCUUUCCUUUUUUUUAUUGUUAUUUCCUUCAUAUUUAGGGGUGGUAUGACAUUGAUCGUCAAAUGUUGGCAUUAACGCUAGUGGUCUGGUUUGCCGUUGGUGUUGCUCUUCAGAAACUAGACUUAAGUUUUCGUAUUAACGCUAAUAGUUGGGGUUCGCUAUUGGUGUUGCGCGUUAGGACCUGGUUGCCUUUUAGAAUGUCGUAAAGUACUCUUGGUCUUAUUUCUCCGAACCAUGGCACUACUCACUGAUUGCCUGUCGGGCAUUCCUCGCAUGUAGUUGGAACCCAAGUCUUUGUGUAGCUCAAAAUAUGGGAGAAGAAAAGGAGGAGGAACAGCAUUCCUUCAGAAUGUUAUUUCAUUUAGCGCCCGCUUAAUUAACAUCGCGUGGUGCCUCCCAAAAUAUUAACACUCUGCUUUUAUGCAUUAUUCCUUUUCUAUUUUAUUAUUACAUUCUAUUUAAAUUCCUUGAUGUAAUAUGGUUCCCAUCUGCGACAAGCAUAGCAAUUCAGAAUAUGUUAGCUUAGCAAUAAUGAUUUUUUGUAGCAUUUUAGGUUCUGUAAGUUUGAUGACCACAAUCUGGCUAAUCGUCGAAAAACUUUAUAUGGAAGUUUUCUUCCUGUCGAAGGAGAAGGGGAAUUUGUAACAGUUGAAAAUGGGAUUUAGCCAAUGGUUCACCUGUCUGCUAACCCGUUGUUCAAAUGUAUGUAGUAAUAAAUUAUUACUGUAAUAAGCUAUUUUUGUCAACCGAUUUUCAUUUGUAACUUGGACUUUAGUAAGCACGUUUGUCAGAUUAGGUUAGUAAUAUUUUGAAGAUUAUUUGAAUUUUGGAUAUUUGUAUCUCUCUCCCAAACAUCAGCAGUCUUUAUUUUGGGUUUGUCUGGCAACGUGGUGGUUGCCCCACCUUCACGAACCACCGUUAUUGAUGGGAAGGGACGAGGAGUGGACCCAGCAGGGUCACCGAGCGAAGGGCAAUCAAGUACCAGAAUUUGCGGAGUCAAGCAGGGGGGUCCAUCUCGGCACCAUUGUGCGGGCCAGAGUGAAACAGCGACAUCUACGCAACGAUAUGAAGGGUUGUUGCUGGGUUGAGUGCCUUAAUUUAUAGAUAUCUUUCACGCAGUGCCAUUUGGCGGUAAUGCCAAGGCGUUCAGAAUUUCUAUGAAGCUGCAAAGCUCAUAAUUUAUUGGUAAUCGGCAUAAACAAAUUACUAUGUGAUAUUACACAAAUAUUGAUUAUUAUAAUUAUUUAUAUUGUUGUAGAUGUAUUAGUUGCUAGAAUACUGUCUUUCUAAGCAAGAAAAAAUUUAGACUUUGUCAAUAAUCGGUGUAUCAGUGAUGUGAUAUCCGGGGUGUGACAAUUCAGCACUUUUCCAUGAUUGACAUUGGGGACAGAAAACAACUGCUGCUUGACUUUAUCUGACUUGAACUAUGGUUACGUGCACCACGUGUUUUUUGAAAACUAUAUUUGAAAUCCAUGUUAAUCGUAGCUACAAAUAGAUAUGAGUUCAAAUAAAAUAACGUGUUGUGUGCCUAAGUGCUAUGAUGUGUCUUCAAGACGGUAAUUACGUUAUAAUUUUGACUUAUAAAAUGUGUUUUUUAUUGUGCACAUUUAAAUAGAGUUAACGUUAUUCAAACGCUAUAUUUUCGAAAAUAAACAAAAUAGUUUGGUUUGGAGUCAGACUUUUUGUUAUGCAUGGUUGCGCUGAAAUAAAUGAUGCAAGUUAUACAUUUUCAGAUAUUGUUUGCCUAAAAGUGAAGAUGACAUAGAUAUAUGGAUCCGGCAGAUCAAAAAUGAACAUCUCAUUGGAAUCAUAAAUUCUGAACGUCCUGCACUUAGGAACUAUGGGCACUAUAUAGUUUGUGCUCGACAUUUCAAUGAGAUGUGUUUCCGUCCGGGCGGAAAAUUGAUAUUACGUUCUUUACCAACUAAAGAACUUCCAGGUUUUAAAGAGUAUAAUUCAAGGGACACCAGCUUUCUGAAAAAACCAUUACCUGUUCAAGUAUUUAAAACCCCGCCAAAAAUAAAAGAUGAUGUCGCUGUUGUGAACACAGCUGCUACUACAUUUACCGGAACUAGUCCGAUAAAGUCAGUUCUAGUUCCGCAGAAAGUAUACUCGGGAAGAAAACGUCCGCUGGAGCCUUAAAAAUUGCAAAUGCCUGAAGAGGCCUCAGAAAUGGUUUAUUAAAGUCCGAUCUCCACUUUAUUGAAGAUGGUGUACAAAAACUUGCAUCUUGGAACCAUCUCAUCACUCUGUAUGAUUUAGAUAGCAAAAUGGGCCGAUUUUCUCAAGAUAUCAGAUUAACUGAUGAGCAUGUGUUACCAGAAAAAAUUUAAAAAAAUGCGUGAUAAAAAUUGCACGCAAGUGUUCAGCAGAAGUGUGGCCACUGCUAUGAAGAUAAAAGCUUUAACGAGCAUUCAUUUGGAUCCGUCUAAUGCUCAGUAUUUAGAUCCCAAAGCGUCAGAAACAGCACACCUAUUUUUAUUCUUGGAUGAGUUAUUUGACUCCUUAAAUGGGAGCCAAACUUCAGUUGUUCUUGGCAAAGAAAUGCGGAGCGUGGUGACACAAAAUUCCAAACAUGUUCAUUUUUGGAUCUCAAUUGCUCUCCCGUUAUUAAAGUCAAUGUCUUUUGCGAAAUCAAAUGUAACUCCCUCUAUCAAAAAUUUAAUUUUUACAGUCAAUGUCGUGGGAAAGAAAGUUUUAUCGCAAGUGCACUGCCAAAGCUGCUUAAAACAAAUGGAGUCAUUGGGAGCUGAUCCUCAUAACUUACUUAUUCAACAUCGGGAGUAUCUGAAAGAUAAACGACAUCUGUUCCAUCCAUCUACGCAAUUUUUUUAAAGCCUUUAGACAUAUAGCUAAUAUUAUUUUCUUCCUAAUACCUAAAUAUAUAACGGAUUUCGCAAUUAAGAAGAAAAUAAUGGAAACUUUACGCACAGAAGAGGACAUUGCUUAUGGUUUUUGUGAAAAACACAAAAACAAGUCCAUCUUAAUGUACAAAGUGUGCAUAAAUGUUGUCCUUUUUAGUUAUAUAUCCAAAGUAAACAAAAUAUUAAGUGGUAUUGACUUGCGCCACAAAAAUGAUGAUCAGCUAACACGACUGGCAUAUGCAAAAUUUCUUCGAAAACGAGGAUUUCAAUCUUAACUAAAUUAUUGUAUUUUUUAUAUUUAUUAAUUAUGUGUUUAAAUUUACUUGAAGGAGAGCAACGAAAGUAAAAUGAAACUAUGAUAACUGUAUUUGUACACAGUAGAAUAAUCUGUGAAUGAACGAAAAUACUCGUCUAUCAAUGUAAAACUGUUAACUGUAUUUUGUUAUCUAAGUUUUGACCAAUAUUAAAAUUUGUAAUUGCUUAUAGAAUCUUUGUUAUGAAGUUAUUGCAAAACACUUUAAUUGAGAUUAAGAAUUGUUAAUGUUCAAUCUGAUGUAUUUAUAUAUAAAUGUGUCUGAUUGGAUAAGCAUUUCUUAAUCUCGGUUAAAGUAUGCACCCAAUCCAAUAUUAAUAAGAAAAAUUAAUAGAAACCGAGAAGUAGAAAUCUAUACCAAUCCAGAAAUGGAAACUACAGGUUUCUGUAUUCACAGCUGAUUUUUCGUAUUGAGACGGAGGAAAAUUUUGCACGGAUUUCCGGAAAGAUGGCGCUGAUGCAUCUCUGUCCCGUGUCUAGUAAAGGAGAGAGGGCUAUCUAUAUCAGUCUUUAUCUAUGGAGUCAAGUAGCAGAGAUUGCCGAACAUAGUCGAUCAUCGUCCCAUUGACCUCCGAAUCCGCCAUAUUCUGCUGGGUGGUAGAUCUGCCCGCUGCUAGAACAUCCGUUUGGGGACAUCGGCCGCCUCCUGGUUCCCGACUGGAGAUAUUGACCCACUGAAAUUGUGGACUGGAUAGCCAAGGACGGUCUGGAUGAGAUCUAAACCUAGCACGUAGGCAUCGGCAGAACGUGGCGGCGACUUCGGAGACUUGCUGAUGCUUGGGGCGAGUAUCGCUAUUGGUUGUCAAUUAUUAAUUUGUAAUUUCUGGAACUUUUCAUUUAAUUAGGUAGUUAACGUAGGUUACAGAUCAAACGGUUAGCAGACGGUAGUUUGUGGUCGUCAAACGACGUUUUCUUGUUCUCUAUUAAGCUCACCAUUUUCUUGUUUUUGUAUCUUCAUUCAAGUCAGUUUACGUGCUAUCACGGAAAAAGAAUUGAGUAGGUAUUUCGGCAGCAUUCCAUCGCUGAGUGUUCUAGUUUUGCGGCGAAAGCUAGUGACGCUCAAACGAACUCACCCUUCGGGCUUUGCACACGACCGCCCGAAAUACUCGAUCAAGGGAAACUUUUUUUUCUGUCUCUCUCUAAAUUA